rnacentral:snRNA from 1 species
AAACCAGCGGAGUUUCCGAGGCCUGGUGUAGUAUCUGUUUUUAUCAGCUUAAUAUCUGAUAGGGAUUGUAUUUCGACCCAAGAUAUCAAACUUAUUUUUGCGCCGUGGCAGAGUGCUUGAAGCCUGCUUCCGCUCCGCCGCGGGUCGGCACGGUCUUUCACAAUCUUCGGGAUCGGCCCACGUUUU